rnacentral:rRNA from 1 species
GACGAACCGAGCGAACGUUGUUCGGAAUCACUGGGCUUAAAGGGCGCGUAGGCGGGCCUGCAAGUCCGUGGUGAAAUACCUCAGCUCAACUGAGGAACUGCCUCGGAUACUGCAGGUCUCGAGGGUGGUAGGGGUAUGCGGAACUAUCGGUGGAGCGGUGAAAUGCGUUGAUAUCGAUAGGAACUCCGGUGGCGAAGGCGGCAUACUGGACCACUUCUGACGCUGAGGCGCGAAAGCCAGGGGAGCAAACGGG